rnacentral:lncRNA from 1 species
AUGACACGGAAGCAUGCGGUACUGCUGUUGUGCAGGUGUGUGUGCACGGGGGGGCUACAGCGUGGCGUUCCGGAGGGGCAUGUACACGCGAUCUCCACUUCCCCGCCCGAGCCCCGCAUUCAUUCCUGGACACCAGCGGCUGCGGGCCGGCUCGGGCGUGGCCAGGACACCCUGACAGGUGGGGGCGCGGGCGGGGGCGCUGCCGUCGGUCCGUCCGCCGCUUCUGCUGCGCUGUGGCUGCUCACGCAGGAGGCCACGACUGUGCCCCACCUUCCCUCCCGACAGAAGCUCCUCAUCUUGUGGCCGGGUCUGGCGGGCAGGGUGCGGGCACGGCGGCCCGGGCGGAGCCGAGCGCAGGCCGCAGCGCCAUCCCCCGGGCCUCCGCGCCAACCCGGCCGGGCGCGGGGGCCGCAAACCAGCCCUCCCAGAGCCUGCCUCCGAACGGGCUCGGCGGACACGCAAGGCUCGGGGGGAGGCGGUGCGCGCGGAGCCGGGCUGGUCCGCCCCGCCCUCGGCCCGCGGCUCCCUGGGGCCCGCGCAGGCGCCCUGACGCCGCGGCCCUUGGUCCUCCCGGCGCCCCGUAGCCCGCGCUCCCCGGUGACACGUUUCCUUGGGGGCGGGGAGGGGGCGGGGCCGGGCGGGCCGUCGGCUCUUAAAGGGGCCCGGGCCCGGGGCGCGGGAGGCGGCGCCGCUGGAGGCAGCGCGGGGCGCGCGGUCCGGAGCAGGUUCGGGAGGCGGAGGGUGGGAGGCCUGGCGGGCUCGCGAGGGGCCGGGUGGGCUGCGGGGAGCGAGGGAGGACCUCGGGGGUCCCGGCUGCGUCCUGGGCAGGGUCCCAGUAGGGCGGGCCCUGCGGCUCCCUGCUCCCGCCGCCCUGGCUGGGGCGGCCCUGGUUCAUUCAUUCCCGACCCGGGGGCUCCGAGCUCGGACCCGGAGAGCCACGGCCCCAAUCCCAGCCCGACGCCCACCGCCGCCUCCCCUCCAUUUUGCAGACUGGGGACACCGGGGCGGCCACAGCCGAGGGGUCACCCCGCCGGUGGGGGGCGAGGCUGGGCUCACCAGCCUUCCGGCCUCCUGGGGUCCCCCCGCGACCCCUCUGCGGGCUUCCGCCUGGCGGAGUGGGGGUGGGGCGGCCUCGGCGCCCGGAGCAGAGUCCGGCGGGGGGCGGGGGGCGGGGGGCGGGCGAGCUGCUCGGUGCGAGGCUGGCGGGCUGGUUCCCGGCUAUCAGCUGUGUCCUCAGGCAGAUUCCCUCCCCUCUCUGACCUUAGUAUCCUUCUGGGUAAAGCGCCAGCUGCACACCUGCCUCGUCAGGAAUCCAGGAGGAUAAUGCAGAAGCGCCCGCUCCGGAGCCUGGCGCGCGGCGGCGCUCGGUGCAGUGGGCGGGAGUGGACGCCCGAGGGAGAGGGAGGCAGCCGGAGGCAGGCAGGCGGCCGGCCGGGCCCCGCCGAGCCCCGCCGAAUGAAAGACCUCAGUGUCUGGAGCCCGGAGUCCUCCCGCGGCCCCCCCACCCCAGCCCGCAGAGUUUGUUCAGGGCGGAGGUGCACACCUGGCAGUGGAGCCGGGACCAGGGCCACGUCUGCAGCGCCCGGCUGCGUGCCGCCUGAGGUGGGGUGGGAUCCUCGGCGCCCAGCGGGCAGUGACCCAGCUGGCCCUGGCCCCCGCUGCAGGGUGCGGCCCCCUCCAGGACCUCGGUGCUGCAGCCUGGCACAGCACCCCACCCUGGGGCCGUUGGCUGUAUUUCCUGCUUCCUCCCAGCCGACUCUUGAGGGAGAGGAGUCGGGGGCAGCCCGGAGCAGGAAGUCCUCACCACUGGGCGGCUCACACCAGUGA